rnacentral:rRNA from 1 species
CCUCGAGACAGGGAUAACCGGGGGAAACUCGGACUAAUACCGGAUAAGCUUCCGGAGGGGCAUCCCUCUGGGGGAAAAGUGGCAACACACUCGAGGAUGAGCCCGCGGCCCAUCAGCUAGUUGGCGGGGUAAAGGCCCACCAAGGCGACGACGGGUAGCUGGUCUGAGAGGACGACCAGUCACACUGGAACUGAGACACGGUCCAGACUCCUACGGGAGGCAGCAGUGGGGAAUCUUGCGCAAUGGGCGAAAGCCUGACUCAUCGACCCCUCGUGUGCGAUGAAGGUCUUCCGAUCGUAAGCACUGUCGCGAGGGAAGAAACCUGACGGUACCUCGAGAGGAAGCACCGGCUAACUCUGUGCCAGCAACCGCGGUAAUACAAAGGGUGCGAGCGUUGUUCGGAAUUAUUGGGCGUAAAGCGCAAGUAGGCGGCCUUUCAAGUCUCGUGUGAAAGCUCCCGGCUCAACCGGGAAAAUGCGCGCGAAACUGACUGGCUUGAGUGCUGGAGAGGGUGGCGGAAUUCCCGGUGUAGAGGUGAAAUUCGUAGAUAUCGGGAGGAACACCAGAGGCGAAGGCGGCCACCUGGAAAGACACUGACGCUGAGAGGCGAAAGCGUGGGGAGCAAACAGGAUUAGAUACCCUGG